ACCAGUGAUGGAAAUGUGUUCCGAAAAUAUGUUUAAUAUAAUUUGGCACAACUGAAGUGAUAAAAAUAUAGUAGUUAGACCAUUUAUAUUCACAAUUAUUUAACAUUGUAUCUUAUUUUCUACCUCAAAUGAUUUAAUCUUUUCCAUAUUGGUAUGGUCCUGGCCGAUAACUCUUUGUGUGGCAGCCUGAGAGAAUAUGGAAGACACUGUCAGUGUUGGAAGAUGGUGGUUUUAUCACUUUUCAUUGCACUGUCUUUAAAACAUGGGCAAAUUGACUAAAAGAAGACUACAGAAGAAAUAAUGAAUGAAAACCAUGUAGCUGGUCUUAUUAUUCUCUAAUCAUGAAGACCAUUAUUGUUAUUUGUGGACUAAGGAGCAGAAAGACUGAUAGUGGACAUAGGCCAGCUGAUUUAAUAAUUUAAGAAAGAACUGUUAUCCUGAGUAAGGAGCAUAGAGACAAAUAUAAAAUGAACGCACUCUACCUGAUUUAAUUAUAGUCUUCUGGUGAAGAUCUUGCUGUUAUCUCUGUGAAUCAGGAGAGAAGAGAUUGAUAAGGAAUAGACGAGAUUGGAUUUGGUCAUUUCCCCAAGGUGAAGAGCAUGGCGAUUUCUUCUGUGAAUGAAGACCAUGGUUGAUUUAAUCAGUCUCUGCUGAUGAAGAUCUUGGCUGUUACCUUUGUGUGUAAGGAAGCUAAAGACUUAAAAUGAAUGCGCAAUGAUUCAAUUAUUCUCCAGCGAGGAAGAUCAUGGUUGUUGUCUGUUUGAGUAAUGAGUGUAGAAACCUAUAAUGGAGGCGUGAUGGCUGAUGCAAUCAUUUUCCACUGAUGAAGGUUUUGAUGGCCACCUGUAAUGAACAGCCCCA
rnacentral:lncRNA from 1 species